rnacentral:rRNA from 1 species
AGUGAACGCUGGCGGUAGGCCUAACACAUGCAAGUCGAACGGCAGCACAGUAAGAGCUUGCUCUUACGGGUGGCGAGUGGCGGACGGGUGAGGAAUACAUCGGAAUCUACUUUUUCGUGGGGGAUAACGUAGGGAAACUUACGCUAAUACCGCAUACGACCUACGGGUGAAAGCAGGGGAUCUUCGGACCUUGCGCGAUUGAAUGAGCCGAUGCCGGAUUAGCUAGUUGGCGGGGUAAAGGCCCACCAAGGCGACGAUCCGUAGCUGGUCUGAGAGGAUGAUCAGCCACACUGGAACUGAGACACGGUCCAGACUCCUACGGGAGGCAGCAGUGGGGAAUAUUGGACAAUGGGCGCAAGCCUGAUCCAGCCAUACCGCGUGGGUGAAGAAGGCCUCCGGGUUGUAAAGCCCUUUUGUUGGGAAAGAAAAGCAGCAGGUUAAUACCCCGCUGUUCUGACGGUACCCAAAGAAUAAGCACCGGCUAACUUCGUG